CAGAGCGCAUGGUUUUGUCCAGAUUGCGUGGUGGAGUUAGAAAUGUCUCGGAGGGAGAAAUCCACUGAACUAUGUGUACGCAGUCGAGAGCAGUUCAACUGUGAAAAGGGAGCCUCUAACGUACCUGAGAUUAUACAGAACAGAACCACCUCAGAAUGGAAGACUGUGGUUUCAUUCACUGUUCUGUCAAGCACAGCACAGCACACCACAGCACAAAGAAGAACAGUAUUGUGCUGACGUUCUGAUGUUCCUCUCCUUCCUCCCCACCACCACCAGUUGGGUCCCUGUCUGUCCCGGCCUACGCUAAAGGCUCUUUAAUUUCUACUGAAUUGUUAUUUUUAAACCU